AGUGAACGCUGGCGGUAGGCCUAACACAUGCAAGUCGAACGGCAGCACAGUAAGAGCUUGCUCUUACGGGUGGCGAGUGGCGGACGGGUGAGGAAUACAUCGGAAUCUACUUUUUCGUGGGGGAUAACGUAGGGAAACUUACGCUAAUACCGCAUACGACCUACGGGUGAAAGCAGGGGAUCUUCGGACCUUGCGCGAUUGAAUGAGCCGAUGUCGGAUUAGCUAGUUGGCGGGGUAAAGGCCCACCAAGGCGACGAUCCGUAGCUGGUCUGAGAGGAUGAACCGCCACAAUGGAACUUAGACACGGGUCCGACUCCCAAGGGGGGCAGCAGUGGGGAAUAUUGGACAAAGGGCGCAAGCCUGAUCCAGCCAUACCGCGUGGGUGAAGAAGGCCUUCGGGUUGUAAAGCCCUUUUGUUGGGAAAGAAAAGCAGCAGGUUAAUACCCCGCUGUUCUGACGGUACCCAAAGAAUAAGCACCGGCUAACUUCGUG
rnacentral:rRNA from 1 species